CUAGGAGGUCUGUCCCAUCCCCCAAUCCGGCCGCCGCCAGCUACAGCUCCCUCCUCAGGAUCCUCCCUGUCUGGAUCCGCCGCCACAACUUCAUUCAACCAGCCAACGCGGGUUAGUUAGAUCCAGCAAUCCUGGCCGUGUGUGGUUAGAUCGGGCGAAUGGGAGGCCUCCUCGAUGCAGCGACCAACAUCCCCGUAAGGCCGAGCGCCUCGUUCCCCUCUUCUCUAGCCUCGAUCCAGGUUGGAUCGGAGUAGCAUCGGCGAGCGCCACCACCAGGUCACAACAGCCUUGAGCAUCUGCCCCUCUCCUUGCUUUCCAUCAUUCCUGUCUUUCUAACCUCCCUGCUCUCCCUUUCUUCUCUGUUGUUCAGGAACAACCAUGGCAUCCAUGAACUCCAUGUCUGCCCAAAUGGACUCGAGCAGCCGUCGUCCUUGCCGAAAGCUCCGCCUCACCUCGCCCCCGACCGGCUUUGUACGCCCCCGACCCAUCCCCGCCAUAUUCGCUGGUCGUGCCCUGUCGGACCUCCCUCGCAUGGAGUCGCCGUUGACUGCGCAUGUUUCCUCUGCAACGAGCAGGAACCGCUCUGUCAACGAGCAUCUCUCCAGACCUCUAUUGCGUGGGGCUUGCCCUGCUCCUGGGCCAGCUUGGCAUCCCGGACCAGCAGCGCCCUAGCCGAAGUCGGCCCAGCUCCAGCCAGCGGAGGCCUCGCAAGCCCCAUCGAGCCGGCCCAUGGCCACUUGG
rnacentral:lncRNA from 1 species